GAGGAAAGCUGGCGGCGUGCCUAAUACAUGCAAGUCGAGCGAACAGACGAGGAGCUUGCUCCUCUGACGUUAGCGGCGGACGGGUGAGUAACACGUGGAUAACCUACCUAUAAGACUGGGAUAACUUCGGGAAACCGGAGCUAAUACCGGAUAAUAUAUUGAACCGCAUGGUUCAAUAGUGAAAGACGGUUUUGCUGUCACUUAUAGAUGGAUCCGCGCCGCAUUAGCUAGUUGGUAAGGUAACGGCUUACCAAGGCAACGAUGCGUAGCCGACCUGAGAGGGUGAUCGGCCACACUAGAACUGAGACACGGUCCAGACUCCUACGGGAGGCAGCAGUAGGGAAUCUUCCGCAAUGGGCGAAAGCCUGACGGAGCAACGCCGCGUGAGUGAUGAAGGUCUUCGGAUCGUAAAACUCUGUUAUUAGGGAAGAACAAAUGUGUAAGUAACUAUGCACGUCUUGACGGUACCUAAUCAGAAAGCCACGGCUAACUACGUG
rnacentral:rRNA from 1 species